rnacentral:rRNA from 1 species
UACGUAGGGUCCGAGCGUUGUCCGGAAUUAUUGGGCGUAAAGGGCUCGUAGGCGGUUCGUCACGUCGGGAGUGAAAACCCGGGGCUCAGCCCCGGGCCUGCAUUCGAUACGGGCAGACUAGAGUUCGGUAGGGGAGUCUGGAAUUCCUGGUGUAGCGGUGAAAUGCGCAGAUAUCAGGAGGAACACCGGUGACGAAGGCGGGACUCUGGGCCGAUACUGACGCUGAGGAGCGAAAGCGUGGGGAGCAAACAGG